AACGAACGCUGGCGGCAGGCCUAACACAUGCAAGUCGAGCGAACCCUUCGGGGUUAGCGGCGGACGGGUGAGUAACGCGUGGGAACGUGCCCUUUGCUACGGAAUAGCCCCGGGAAACUGGGAGUAAUACCGUAUGUGCCCUUCGGGGGAAAGAUUUAUCGGCAAAGGAUCGGCCCGCGUUGGAUUAGGUAGUUGGUGGGGUAAUGGCCUACCAAGCCGACGAUCCAUAGCUGGUUUGAGAGGAUGAUCAGCCACACUGGGACUGAGACACGGCCCAGACUCCUACGGGAGGCAGCGGUGGGGAAUCUUAGACAAUGGGCGCAAGCCUGAUCUAGCCAUGCCGCGUGAUCGAUGAAGGCCUUAGGGUUGUAAAGAUCUUUCAGUGGGGAAGAUAAUGACUGUACCCACAGAAGAAGCCCCGGCUAACUCCGUG
rnacentral:rRNA from 1 species